AGUGACGACGGGCGGUGUGCGGGCACGCGCAAGCGUGGCCGGUUUCCAGUGGGCCGGUUUGUCACCCCGCAUACCGUCCGUCUCCCAA
rnacentral:antisense_RNA from 1 species